CGGAGCGUGGGCCGCGACUCUCACGGAUCCGGUUCCGCCCUCCCUCUCGUUGCCGACCCUCCGGGGCUAGCGCCCGAGAUCCCUUUCCCAGAGUGCUCUGCGCCGUGAAGAAGCGGCUCCCGGGGACUGGGGGCAUUUUGUGUUGGCUGGUCCCGGAGUAACAAGAUGGCGGCGUCGGCGGAGUGACAGGGGUCCCUCUGGGCGGGAGCCGGCGGCAGUGGUGGCAGCGGUAUCGCCGCCCUAAACCACCGCGCCCCUUUUCCAGUCCGCGACGUCGCCGUGAAAGCGAGCCAGCGGCGGCCGCCCCAAAACAAGUGGCCCAGCCUCGUAACCGAGGGAACCCACUCACAAACUGCGGCCUGGCGAAAAGAAGCCUGAUUGAGCGGCGGUGAUCAGGUUCCCUUCGGCCGAUUCUGGGCCCUGUAACGCCUUGAAAGAGCCACCGUUUUUCGUUUCCUGCCGCCCCCCUCCGCAGCCUUGUUCCGCGGACGAGCCCCUGAGGCCUCAGUCCUCCCCUCAGAGGUGUCGGGGCUUGGCCCCAGCCUCCAUCUUCAUCUCUCAGGAUGGCGAGCAGCAGUGGCUCCAAGGCCGAAUUCAUUGUCGGAGGAAAAUAUAAACUGGUACGGAAGAUCGGGUCUGGCUCCUUCGGGGACAUUUAUUUGGCGAUCAACAUUACCAACGGCGAGGAAGUGGCAGUGAAGCUAGAAUCUCAGAAGGCCAGGCAUCCCCAGUUGCUGUACGAGAGCAAACUCUAUAAGAUUCUUCAAGGUGGGGUGGGCAUCCCCCACAUACGGUGGUAUGGUCAAGAAAAAGACUACAAUGUGCUAGUCAUGGAUCUUCUUGGACCCAGCCUUGAAGACCUCUUCAAUUUCUGUUCAAGAAGGUUCACAAUGAAAACUGUACUUAUGUUAGCUGACCAGAUGAUCAGUAGAAUUGAAUAUGUGCAUACAAAGAAUUUUAUACACAGAGACAUUAAGCCAGAUAACUUCCUAAUGGGUAUUGGGCGUCACUGUAAUAAGUGUUUAGAAUCUCCAGUGGGGAAGAGGAAAAGAAGCAUGACUGUUAGUACUUCUCAGGACCCAUCUUUCUCAGGAUUAAACCAGUUAUUCCUUAUUGAUUUUGGUUUGGCCAAAAAGUACAGAGACAACAGGACAAGGCAACACAUACCAUACAGAGAAGAUAAAAAUCUGACUGGCACUGCUCGAUACGCUAGCAUCAAUGCACAUCUUGGUAUUGAACAGAGUCGCCGAGAUGACAUGGAAUCAUUAGGAUAUGUUUUGAUGUAUUUUAAUAGAACCAGCCUGCCAUGGCAGGGACUAAAGGCUGCAACAAAAAAGCAAAAAUAUGAAAAGAUUAGUGAAAAGAAGAUGUCCACUCCUGUUGAAGUUUUAUGUAAGGGGUUUCCUGCAGAAUUUGCCAUGUACUUAAACUAUUGUCGUGGGCUGCGCUUUGAGGAAGCCCCGGAUUACAUGUAUCUGAGGCAGCUAUUCCGCAUUCUUUUCAGGACCCUGAACCACCAAUAUGACUACACAUUUGAUUGGACAAUGUUAAAGCAGAAAGCAGCACAGCAGGCAGCCUCUUCAAGUGGGCAGGGUCAGCAGGCCCAAACCCCCACAGGCAAGCAAACUGACAAAACCAAGAGUAACAUGAAAGGAACGUGGCUGGUCACUCAGCAACGUAACCCAAAUCACAGGGGAAGACCUUGAAAUAUCUGGAGACUGAUCUUCUCUGAAUAUACUCAAUCUAAAGAAGUGCCAGGAAGCUGCAUCUGCUUGCUGAAAUUUUUGUCAGCUUUUGUCACGGUGGACAGUACAACUGGAGAGAAAAGAGCUCAGUACCCCAACAGGAAGUGAAGAGGAGUGUGCAAGAAUUUGAUUUGUGGUUAUCUGAAACCCACAUCUCCAAGGCUUGCUGGACCUAUCAAAAACUUCACCUUGUCAGAUUGGAUGGAUACCACAACAGUCAGAAGACCUAGAAGAGCACAGUGUUGCUGUGACUCAGUGAUGUAUAAUGCAGACCAUCUACCAGUUGGGAAAGGAAUCAGUUGUAACAGGAACAAAGGGAUCCAUUCCUUAUUUUAACUGUUGUUGCAGUGAAGAUGGGUUUUGGGACUUUUAAAAGCCAGAAGCCAGGAGAGACCACCUAAACUACAAGAUAAAAACCAAGGACUCAUGCACACUGGGAAGAAGAAUGCUUAGCCCUUGAAGAUUGAAUGUUGAAUACCUGCUGAAUGCUCCCACUGAGAUUUUUCUUAAACUUCAGUAACAUCUUAGGACAAAUCACUGGAGAAACACUGAUCUCUGGGUUUCUAAGCAUGAAUCGAGGAACAGAAGAAGCAGAGCAGAUGAUCGGAGCAGCAUUUGUUUCUCCCCAAAUCUAGGAAUUUUAGUUCAUAUGUACACUAGCCAGUGGUUGUGAACAACCAUUUACUUGGUGUAAAGAACUUAAUUUCAGUAUAAACUGGCUCUGGGCAGCAUUGGUGAUGCCGUGUCCCGAGUUGUAGCCGCUGUAAUUGUGAAUAUUAACUGAGAUAGUGAAACAUGGUGUCCAGUUUUCUAUUGCAUUUUUUCAAGUGGAAAAGUUAACUAAAUGGUUGACACACACAAAUUGGUGGAGAAAUUGUGCAUAUGCCAAUUUUUUUGUUAAAAUCUUUUAUUUUGAACUAUACUGCUUUGAGAUCUCAUUUCAGAAGAACGGCAUGAACAGUCUUCAGCCACAGUUGUGAUGGUUGUAAAUGCUCACAAUUGUGCAUUCUUAGGGUUUAUCCAUCCCUGGGGUUUGCAAGUUGUUCACUUAAAACAUUCUUAAAAUGGUUGGCUUCUUGUUUGCAAGCCAGCUGAUAUGGUAGCAACCAAAGAUUCCAGUGUUUGAGCAUACGAAAGACUCUGCCUGCUUACCUGUGCUAGAAAUAACAGCAUCUAAAAGUGAAGACUUAAGAAAAACUUAGUGACUACUAGAUUAUCCUUAGGACUCUGCAUUAACUCUAUAAUGUUCUUGGUAUUAAAAAAAAAACAUAUUUGUCACAGAAAUUUAGUUAACAUCUUACAACUGAACAUGUAUGUAUGUUGCUUAGAUAAAUGUAAUCACUGUAAACAUCUAUAUGAUCUGGGAUUUUGUUUUUAUUUUGAAAUGGGAGCUUUUUUGUUUACAAGUUCAUUAAAAACUAAAAACUGUUUCUGUAAGGAAAUGAGAUUUUUUUUUAACAACAAAAAUGCCUUGCUGACUCACUAUGAAAUCAAAAUCUCCCCAAUUUUUUAAUAGACUACUUCAAGCCAUUUGUUACAUAUACUAUUCCUUUGCAAAUCAUUUUAGAUUUAGUGUUACAACUUUUCCUCAGAUUUUUUUAUUUAAUUUUUUUUUUUUUUUUUUUUUUUUUUUUUUGGUGGUCUGAAGGGGAAAGGCAUUCUUUCAUUUUUCCUGUUUUAGUGACUUGCAGGCACAGUCCCUAGUGCUGCAGCUGCCAGGGCUUGGUGGUGUAACUCCUGCAGCCUCAGACUACACAGCUGGACUGAUUUUGAUUAAGAAUGAAAGCGUUAAAGGGUUUAACUACCAUUUUGUAGUUUUUCUUCAAAUUCCUUGUUAAUUGGAGUUGAGCAGGUUGAUUCUUAACCUUGGAGAGCAUCCCACCAGGUGAGGUUCAUGUGAUUGCUGACCCUCCCUAAGCCCCUGUUCUUUUCCCUCAGUUAUCUGCGCUUCCUCUCAAUCUUAAAUGCACUCUUUUCUUGCCUCUCUCUGACCCAAGAGAAAGAAAGCUUACUGACAGUAAUUCUUUAAAUAGUGUAAUUUAUUCAUUUAUAGCAUGUCAGGAUAAAUUAAAAGAACCUUUGUCUGAAAAUGCUGCCAGAAGCCUGUUGUGUAAAUGUAGGUAUUUUGUAAAAAUAACCUUGAAACUGUACAUUGACACAUGUUUGGUCAGAUUGUGUCAGGUUUAAGUUUUAUUUCUUUUUUCUUUUUUAAAACUACUUUAGCAAUAAUUAAUCCCAUGAUUACCACAUUCUGCUAUUAAAGGGUCUGUUAGCACCAUCACACUGCAGAAAUCUUAAUGAGUGCGAACUUUUGGGGUAGGCAGCUUAUUUGUUUCUUUUCUAUCCACCCCUGUCAGUUAAGGUAUUUGUUUCUUGACUAAUAAUAAACCCUUUGAUACUUUUAGCCAGAAAUCAGUCUCAUAAAGCUAUUUUUGAGUAUAGUUUGUGUAAAAUAAAAAUGUUUAGCUUCGGUAAUAACUUUUCCAAGCUGAACUCCCUCUAGCAAGAUAUUUUUCAGUGCUUUUAUUUACUAUGCACUUAGACUAUGCACUUUUUCUGAAAUAUUUUUGUAACACUUAACUUUUUUGUAUUUUUGCCAUUUGAAAAGGUUGUGGUGUAGUUGGUCUGUAAUUAAGUUGCAGAUUUAAAACUGCUGUUAGCUUUGUAAAUCAAAAUAUAGGUGUUUUUGUCCUGGUAUAUCUUCAUUCCAUCUGCAGCUGGAGCUGGAAUCCCAUUGAUCUUCUAGCUACCAUUCAUUUUCUUCACAGUUCACAAAAGAAGAAUGUGAAAUUCAGUGAAUGCUGUUACUAAUCCUGUCGGGAGAUGAAUCUCAUUUCACCAAAAUUAAAUUAUCUUUUUCCACUACAAUGAUGAUACAAGUUGAAGACACAUCACUCUGAAAUUGGAAGACCUCACCACUUAAGGCUCCGCAGUGGCUUACCCAGCUGAACUCUAGGUUACUACUCUACUUUGUUCACCCAUUGGGGGGUACAGUUUUUUUUAAAUGUUGGGAGAUGGCCAUUCUAACUACUGUUGAAUGUCUCUGUUUUGGGAAGGUAUAACAAGAAAAUAAAAAAGAAUAUAUAUGAA